rnacentral:rRNA from 1 species
AACGCGAAGAACCUUACCUACUCUUGACAUCCAGAGAACUUAGCAGAGAUGCUUUGGUGCCUUCGGGAACUCUGAGACAGGCGCUGCAUGGCUGUCGUCAGCUCGUGUUGUGAAAUGUUGGGUUAAGUCCCGCAACGAGCGCAACCCUUAUCCUUUGUUGCCAGCGGUUCGGCCGGGAACUCAAAGGAGACUGCCAGUGAUAAACUGGAGGAAGGUGGGGAUGACGUCAAGUCAUCAUGGCCCUUACGAGUAGGGCUACACACGUGCUACAAUGGCAUAUACAAAGAGAAGCGACCUCGCGAGAGCAAGCGGACCUCAUAAAGUAUGUCGUAGUCCGGAUUGGAGUCUGCAACUCGACUCCAUGAAGUCGGAAUCGCUAGUAAUCGUGGAUCAGAAUGCCACGGUGAAUACGUUCCCGGGUCUUGUACACACCG